rnacentral:rRNA from 1 species
UACGGGGGGAGCAAGCGUUGUUCGGAUUUACUGGGCGUAAAGGGCGCGUAGGCGGUCAGCACAAGUCAGUUGUGAAAUCUCCGGGCUUAACUCGGAAAGGUCAACUGAUACUGUGCGACUAGAGUGCGGAAGGGGCAACUGGAAUUCUCGGUGUAGCGGUGAAAUGCGUAGAUAUCGAGAGGAACACCUGCGGCGAAGGCGGGUUGCUGGGCCGACACUGACGCUGAUGCGCGAAAGCCAGGGGAGCGAACGGU